UACGAAGGGGGCUAGCGUUGCUCGGAAUCACUGGGCGUAAAGCGCACGUAGGCGGAUUGUUAAGUCAGGGGUGAGAUCCUGGAGCUCAACUCCAGAACUGCCUUUGAUACUGGCGAUCUCGAGUCCGGGAGAGGUGAGUGGAACUGCGAGUGUAGAGGUGAAAUUCGUAGAUAUUCGCAAGAACACCAGUGGCGAAGGCGGCUCACUGGCCCGGUACUGACGCUGAGGUGCGAAAGCGUGGGGGGCGAACAGG
rnacentral:rRNA from 1 species